UUCUGAUUGGGUAUCAUUGUUUUUAUUGUUAAUCAGCUGGGGAAAAUCGGUCUGAAAGUGAUUUCAACGAUAUUGUUUCUCUGUGUCAUUAUCGUAGCUGUGGUGUGGACUCUGUUAUUCUGUAAUACUGAGAACAAUUUUUAGAACUGUAUCUUUAUCGUUAUCUUUAUAGUUAUUGUCCUUGUGGUAAACAGGCCUUAAUGCUUCCUAAAGCUGCAUUUAUCUGUUAAUUUAUAUUUUUUAUAUUUGUUAAAAAUAAAUAUUUAAACUUCUAAAUGAGAACUAUUAUAGCUAGAAUUCUUGUUGUUAUUCUUGUCCUUUUUUUAGAGUCUCUCCAUCAUAUCCCGCUGACACAUGUUGGCAAGGGCUUAUUGCCUGUCCUAAAAGCAUCAAACAUGUGACCUUUGAUCUGGCAAGGCUUUGUGUCAUCUGUUGUGAUUGAUCCAUCUGUAGACGUAUUCCAGAGAAACUCCAUUCCACUGAAAAAAGGUCUGCAGCUUGGCUCUGUCUCCUCCAUUUGGCUCAGUUUGUGACGUCCUCUGGGGACAGGCCCACCGCUCUCAUAUCCUCUGUGACGGAGUCCAUCCGCUGCUUCUUGGGUCUUCCUCGUAGCUGGCGGACUCCAGGAUCGAAACAGAGCACUGUUUUUGCCACUGAGUCCUCAUCACUGCACAUGUUGUGGCUGUACCACCUCAGGCGGGCUUCCCUCAUCUUCUCCGUUAUUGCGGCUACUCUGAGUCAUCGCCUGAUGGCCUCAUUCAUUAUGUGGUCAUGGAGGGUCAGCCCAAGCAUCCACCAGAGCAUCUUAAUUUCCAUCGUGUGGAGGGCCGACUCAUGUUUUCUUGAAAAUUCUGUGAUUUUCGUAUCACACAAGACUCCGGUGACCUGUCUCCACUUGAGCCAUGCUGCAAUGGUUCUUGCCCACAUGUCAAGGAUGGUGUUGCCAUCUGUCAUAAACCAGGGUCCCGAGAUAUUUGAAUUGGGCUGUCUUCAACUUCUGGCCAUCAUUGCGAUGGUGACAUUGGUUUGGGGGCCACAUUCAAGGUACUCCGUUUUGGCAAUGUUGAUUUUGAGCCCAUUGGUGGACACCAACAGUGAUAUUGAAGUGUGGCCACAUCCCGACUGGGCAUCUGACCAAGCUUGAGGUGUUCUGAUACAGUAGU